GGGCGCAGGAUGCGGUGACACACACAGAUUGAGCUUGGCCUGGCCAUCGAAGCCUAACUAUCCCCCCGGCCCUUCAGGCUCCCCCUCUUCUUCCCCCCAGUCCUGGGUCUUGACUUAUGUGCAACACGACGCCCGGAGACGCGCUGAGGGAGCCUGGCCCCCGGAAGUCAUUAGCAGCUUGUGUGCCCCUCGGUCAUGGUCAGGCGGGUCUAGGUCUAACUGCAUGCAGGCCCGGUGGCGGUGCCGUCGCCAGCACCUAGUAUUCGCAUAAGCAAACAAACCCUCGUGGAGCAUGCCCUCCCCCCAAGUGACAGUGACACAAGGUGGGGCCCUCAGGUGGCACCCACACCCACGUGAAGCACAUGCACAGCUCGGUCACGGCAGGGCAUCCCAAAACACAGUCUUCCUCAGGCUACUACUGCAGACUCGGGAGCACGAGCUGCUGAGUCGUUUGGGUAAUCCCAAGGAGCCAGGGGGACGUGCCAUGCAAUGCAUACAGAGGCGGCCCUGCAAUUAGCAGUAUGGGAGGUGGGAAACCUCCGCGGAGGCUGGGAAAGAAACCUGAGGUUCUUAGAAGCAUGCAGGGAGGGUCUGGCUUUAAGGAAAGCACCCCUAGUCCACCGUCCCCCACGCCUAAGCCUAAGGUUGUGGUGGUUGUCCCAAAGCCAUCCAUCCCCACGGCCGUCAGAGUUUUGCCUAUUGAAGGGGAGCUUCCAAAGCCGCACAUUCUGGUGCCUUUGGAACCGAGCCUUAAGCAGCUGCCCGGCAGGGACAGGGAGCGAGCACCUUGUGCAGCUGAAGGAACCAAGCCGCAGGUAGGGGGGACGCUUGGCUCGCUCCUGAACUCAGAGAUGAGGCUUGUUGGGGACCAAGGGAAGCAGUUGUUAGGCGCUGUCUUGGUGUCUUUUUUGGGAAAUUCUGGUGCUUUGGUCCGAAGCUGGUGAUGCAGCCUUGAUUACGGGGCCAGACUUGGGCUAGACUGGAGCCAUGGUGAAAAUGAGCCCUGCCACCUUUGUUUACCCUCUCAUUCUCACUGGAGGCCUGUUUUUUAUAAUCUUUGAUUCUCUCCAGUAGUAGUGGUAGUGGCUUUACUGUUGAUGAAUUCCAGAAAAUAAUACAGAAAUGGGUGAUAACCAGCAAACUUAAUGGAUUCUUUUGCUUUGGAAACAUGCAAAAUCCAUAAAAGUAAACUUUUGAAAAUGAUCUUUGGUUGCUUGGAUUUAGUUUUGCAAUGGAAUACAUAGAACCCCAGAAAGUAUUUUGGGUAGUCUGAGGAAUCACAGUCUGUGUUUCUGUUAUAUUGUUAGCAGUUUCUAAAAUCAUUAGGGCAGAGAGUUGCUUUUUGGGGUUAUCUGUUGAAACAGAAGUAAUCAACUAUUAUAAAUCACUGUAAAUGUAAAUACAUGAGUGUACUGAAUUGCUGCUGAUGACUAAUUGGAUCAUUUUGUCUUUUUGCUGCUUAUUUUAAAAGCCUGUGUGUCCAAAUCAGUAAUUGAAAGCAGAUGAUCAAUUGUCUUUGAAAACAGAGCAUCCUGUGCUUUGGUGGUAUGUCCUUAAAUCAACCAGAGAAGAUAGGACAGACCAUGGUUGGUUAGUAUUUGGAAGUCAUGGAUGCAUUUGUCCCAGUGGCUCCUUUCAAAAGUCUGCCUUCAGAAAUCAGAGAUGUGAGCUCAGCUAUGUUAGAUACUAAAGAAGGCUUCCCCACAAUCCAUAUGCAUCUGCUUUGACUGAUGGUUUCUAUCAACCUUCAAAAGACUGUGACUUAUUGGUGAGGGCAGCUGGACAACUCUCAGAACAACUUAGAGAAAUCCACCAUGGGCACACUCUAUAAAGGAGCUCCUUCUCUGGAAAGUAGCGCCCCAGAUAAGUGCACAAAAGCAAGACACCCUCGUGGACCUACUUCCUCCCGCUUUCAACACCCUGAUGCCUGAAGUUUAUAGAGUUUGACAGCAGUGUCAAGAGCUGAUGAGGAGGAGAAGAUGGAAAGGAGUCUAGCAUCCUAAAAAUUUCAUAGCAUUCUCUGUAAUGUGGCCCUUUUCCAGUUGGUGUCUCCAUUUAUUUAAAAGAUAAAGAAGAUACUGAGGCCUGGGAGACCUGUCAUCAAAUCAGAUUUGAGUUUACUGAAAUGUUGUUCCCUUUUCUUCUAUUCUUCACCUUACUUUGGAUCACUUUGUGAAAAUGAAAACCAGUUAUUUUCUGUUGUUAGUUUAAAUGACAUAUGAUCAGCAUAAAUUGUUAAAAAUGACUCCUAAACAGUGGGAGCCAGAGGGAAAAAGGACCAUGUUUGUAUCUUGCUAUUGGCUUGUAUUAGCAAGCUUGAGGAGAUGGUUAGGGAGAAUGAGUUUGAUGACUCUCCUUUGUUGUACUUUUAUUGAUUUGAGGGUUUUGUAAAGCUUUUCCAAAUCUAGCUAAAAACAUACAUUUGCUUUCAUUGCUGCCAGGUGCUAACAAGUACCAGGUGUGUGGUAGCUGUGACUUAACAACUUUCAGUAUUUCAGGAUUGCUAUGAACCAGGUGUGCAGAGAUGAUGUAAACAAGACUAAAUAUUUGCACUUUGUAAACAAAAGUAAAUUAUUUGUAAGCCAAUAAUGCUUAGUCAUUAGCGUGUGAAAUGAAUAUUAAAUACUCAAUCAAGCAUAUUAUGCAAAAUAAUACUUAAAAUGUUUCUACUCUCAUUGCCAAGAGAUACAUUAAAGAGGUCUUUUUAGUGUACAGGUAGAUGUAAUUUUGGCCUGUCCUAACCUGAACUCCAGAGAGCUUCCAAAAUAUCACUGAUGCUCAUUACUUCUCUGUGCCUUUCAAUGCUGUGUUGUAGCUGAGAAUUUAUUAACUUAACUAGGGCAAUUUUAUCUUUUUCACCUAUAAUCAACCUCUGGCCCAGAAUUGUCCACGCUCUAAUUUGGCUGUGAAUACCUUUAUACCUUAAUCCAUUCUGUCUUUUGGGCAGCUUCAGUCAGAAUAUUAACUUUAUUGGAACUCAACACCAAAACAAUUCCUAGGCUAAUGCUCCAUUGAGCAAAUUCCUUCAGAAGUGUAGACCCUCAAAAAUGGGCAUUAUUUAAGUCAGAGUUGUAUUCCCUUUGCUUAUAUGGACACUUCUCUUACAGGUUUUGCCAGAACUGCUCUAUCUGUGCUGCUUCCCUCAUAAUUCCCUUUUUUCUCACAGUGUUUAUCAGAUGUAUACCUUACUGGGCCAAACACAUCUUUUCCUUUAGCAGAGCAGAUGAAAUAUAUGUACACACAGACACACACACACUCAUACACAGAUACACAUAUAUGCAACAAUGUAUCUGUUAACCAAAUAUAAUAAAAUAGACACAAAAUUGGAAUUUUGUCACACCUUGCAUGGGCUGAAAUAGACUGUUCUGGCAGGUCAGCUAUCCCUUAGUGAUUUCAGAAAAAAAACACCUCAUCAGUUUGAAUCAAGUUGCUAAUGAUGUGUAAGUUUGGGGUCAAAUAGGUGAUUGAUUUUCACACUUCUGAUAUAUUCUCCAUUGUCAUGGAUGUGGUAACAACCUAUUGGAAAUGAGGGGCUGAUAGAAGCGGACUUAGCUUUAGAAAUUACCAGAGUGUGUACUUUUUGCUACUGCUUCUAGUCUUAGGGCUAGAACAGCCCAUGGGUGUUAUUUGGCUAUAUUGACAUUAGGUUUACUGAGCACCCAAGAAAGGAGAUGAAUUAUUUUCCUGUGUCAACCUCCCUGGGGCAGUUUGCUUGCUGAUAGAAGUAGAACAGCUAUGCUGUAAGUUCCCAGGACAGUUUUGUGCUUCUGAGAAAGUUCUCUCUAGUUCUGAGCUCUCACUAUACUUUGUCUUCAGCUCUCAUGCUCAAAGAUGCCCUUAAGAUCAUCUACACCAAUAAGUUCAUUAGAUACUCAUUGGACUGAGUAAUCUUGAGUCCAUCUUAGCUUUCUGAUCAGCCCAGUAGACCUCUGGGCUCUGCCACUAGUCAUUGCACCUCUUGUGGUUAAGAGUUGGACUAGAUGAUUCCUAAGGUCCUUUCCAGUUCUAAUGUUAUUUCAUUGUUCCAAAUCUCUGAGACCUAUUAUUAGGCAUCAAAUUGGAAUAGUUUACCUAAAUAAUAUAUCUCUACUCUUAAUUCAGAAAUCCUUUCAUUGGAAUGCUUAACAAUUAUCACCAUUAGCAUUCUAAAUUGAAUUGGUGAGUUAAGAAUUGGCUCUUGGCUCAUUUUUAGUGGAUCAUAAGUUAUUUCUGUUUUAUAUUUGUAUAUGUGUACAUAUAAAUAUGUUAGUAUGUAUAUGGACUUUUAAAGUAUAUACAUGGGGGCAGGUAGGUGGCGUAGUAGAUAGAGCACCUGCCCUGAAGUCAGGAAGACCUGAGUUCAAAUCCAG